UUUGAUCGUGUAAUAAUCCUGACACCUACUAAAAAUUGUGCUGAUGACAUAAACUAUGGCGACUAGGAGUAAAAAAAACAAAGUUUAUUUACUCUCUCAGAGGAAGUAAAACACUUUCAUGACAAGUUUGCUCGUUAUGUAGAGAAAACGAGGGCUGAAGAAUAUUACUGCUUAUGUUUAUUGAUGCUGUGAAGUGCAACCCUGCCACUCUCCCACCACAUAAUUCUCAUCAUGUUAUCAUCACACCGUCAACUUAUAUGGGACGAGAUCUGAAGCCCUGCUUCAAAUACUGAUAAGUUUGGAUGAUUAUCAGUAUUUUGUGUCAAGAUGGGUAACAAACCGCACCUGACUUUGCCUGGAGCUGUAGUCACUGGAUCGAGUGCAGCGUGGUCACUGCUCAGGAAACUGCCGUAGAGCACUUGGCCAGAAGCUACCAAGGGUCUAAGUACUGGCUGACAUCUUUUCAAGUCUGCCAGUUAGACUGAAGAGGAAGAAGACCAGAACAGCUGUGAUGAGAAAAAAUGAAGGAGGCAGAGAAGAAGAGUUUUUCUUCAGCUCUGGUCUGGACCUCUGACGGUGAUCUUAUUUUCUGAUGGAGAAAUGUUUUGUGGCCUGGCUCGAGAAGGGAGCCCACCCCUCCUCCUGCGCCUCUGCCCCUCGUCGUCUUCUUCAGUGCAAUGCCACUAUCUGCAGUUUCACAGGGCCAUCCUUUAAAAGGUGCAGAGCAAAGGCUCGCCGUUAUCUGCAGAUGUUAUUCAAUUGUUACGGGACAAUCUGGGCCAUUAGCUGCUGUGUUAAAUAAUGCAUCCGCUUUUAAAGGGGGACCCUUAUCUUUCCUGUGUGUGUGUGUGUUUUUUAACAUUAUUAGUAUAGGAGUGUAAUGAGCGGCCCCUGCCUGAUGGGCUCUGAUAUACCUCCAAGGUCUCUUUGCGAACCUCCACCUCCACAGCAGCGCAUAGACAAACGGUGACCUUUUUAAUGAAGCUCGGUUUUAUCUCGUUUUAUUAAAAAGGACAACAAGAAGCGGAAA